AUACGGCGAUAUAGGUACUCGUAUCAUUCAAUUCAAAUUUAACACAUCCAUCACAGUGAACCACCAGAGACCAGACUCCAACUAUACAGCAGAAUGUCUAAAUAUUGGAUAUUUAAAAAAAAGUAUAGAUAUCCUCAUUGGCAUAGUACGAAAUCUCACGUAGUCAACGAUAAAAAUUUAAUAACACGCAGAACCACAAUACAUGCUGCAUAGAUUUUUAUUAUUAUCACGGUGGACAUCACACGUGUUCAAAGAACAGUCAACAAUAACACUAUUAUUAUUAUACCACAGUAGAAUACUCAGAUACUCUAUGUCUGUAUAAUAUAAUAUUGUGCGCACCAAUGAAAUCUGCACUCGAAAACAUAAAAGCAAUCGGACACAAGUGCGGAUUCGUUUGAAAUCGUCGUCGAUCCGUUAAACAGACCCGGUACCAUUUCAACCAGAAAACGGGACGAUUUUUUACACCCUCAAUAAGAAAAUUAUCGCGAAAUCUUCAGGAAGUUGCCCAUUUCAGUUUUAGAUGGACAAAAUCAUUAUUAAUGCCUGGACUCAUAUUUAAAACGUAUAUUUUUAAAUAUUUCGCUUGUAAAAAUAAUUCUACUGAAAAAUUGCUACGUUUAAUAAUAAUUAUAAUGCUAAUAUACAUAUACAUGUACCUAUAUACAUUAUACAGUGCCCUGUAAGGAUUUACCCAUUACGAUAUCUUUUGAAAUAAUAUAGAUAUCAUAAUUCUGUUUUUUAUAAGACUCACAGGGACAAGAACUACAAGUAUUUCAUAUUUUAAUUUCAUUUCAUUUUUUGGUAAAAAGUUUAAAAAACAUUUUUUUAUUUAAUUAUUUUCAAAAAAAUAGAAUUUAUUUUUCUGAAAAAUUUGACUUCAACAUUUUAUUUUCAUUCGGAUCGUGAUUUUUAAAAUUUUUUUUAGUUUUAAGAAUACUUUUGUAUACUCCGCGGGCAUGAUCCCGCGGGCCACAUGUUUUUGAUAACACUGGCACUUAUAUACACGGUAUUAAAUAUAGUUUACAAUUUUUCUGAAAACUAGAAAAAAAAUAUUAAAAUCAUGAGAUUAAUGAAAAUAAAAUAUUAAUACGUUUUAGAAAAAUAAACUCUACAAAAUGGCUAUCUUCGAUUUUUUUUUUAAAUAAUUAAAUAAUAAAUUAUUUUUUUAAACUUUUACCGAAACAUUAAAUUCAAUUCAAAUAUGAAAUACUUGUAAUACUUGUCCCUGUGAGUUUUAGAAAAUAGAAUUAUGAUAUCCUCAUUAUUUCAGGAGAUAUCGCAAUGGGUAAAUCCUCUCGGGACAUUGUUUAUAAUAAUAUAUUAUACUUCCAUAUAUUUUGAACAUUUCUAAGAAAAUAUAAAUCCAGUAGUCAGUAUAGUUAUAAGCUGAAUUUAAAUUAAGUUGAAAUUUAUACUAGGUAGUAGGUACAUUUAUAUUUUACAACAAUAACACAAUAGUAGGCAUUAUUAUUUUCUUAUAGGACUAUUUUUUUUAAUUUGCCGUUAUAUAACCAUGAUACUCUAAUAAUGUAUUAAAAUAAUAAAUGGAUAAACGAGUGAAUGGUAUUGAGUAAUAACUGUAUCGCGACAAAUAGUCGCUAUUUAAUAUAUUUAUAUACUAUUUUAUUAUUUUAAUAGAUUCGUGGUAUUAUAUGAUAUAUCCAAAAAUAAUCACUGUUAACCAUUUAUUUUUCCAACUCUUCUGAUUUCAUAUAUGUGCAUUUUAUUUAGUGUUAUUAUGUAACGUAUUUCGAUCACUUUUCUUUCACUGUAUAUGGUUCGUGAAUCCUAAUUGACAAUUGCUGACGUUUUAUUUUUUUCUCUCUCACUAGUUCUUUAUCACUCGCCUGAAGCGGAACACAUUUUAACAGCCAACAUAGAUUUUUAUUGUUUUAUAAUUUUUUUGUAAAUCUCAGAAGCAAAAAUGUAUACCAUGUAGACUCGCCCGAUCCUUUUUCCUGUGAUGGUGUCCGCUUGUUAGUAAUGUUGAGAUGGCCGAUAUUAAAUAAAUAUAAAAAUACCGGCAUUAAACAAAAUACAAUCGUCAUAAAUAAUGAGGUAUUCAUUUUUAUUUUGCUAUAUUAAUAAAGGCCGAUAUUUUAUUUUUAUUUCCUGAAAUCCAUCAUGUUAUUAUUAUAUUAUUAUGUACUUAAUAAUACUCAUAUCAGUCAUAUCACAACGAGACGUGUCUAUCAGGGAUAACAAGUGCGUAUGACACGGCUACGUGUUUCAGCUUUAUUAUUAUUAUUAUCGUAUAUGAACAUCUCAUUGUGUCAUUCCGACAUCGUAUUAAUAUUAACAUUAUUAUUAUUGUUAUCAUAUUACCAUUAUAUUGUAGCUGAUAAAUGAUUGAGUAAUAAAAACAUAAUAUUA